rnacentral:snRNA from 14 species
AUACUUACCUAGCAGGGGAAAUUACCCUUCUUCUUGGCCUUGAAUGACUUGGUGUAGUUAGAGGGUGAAGGCCUGCCCCUUGCACUGCGGGCAGGCCAACCCCUGUGAAAGUCUACAAAUGCCUCCAAAUGUGAGAGGAUCUCAGCUACACAAUUGAAAGUGAUGGGGGAUUGCUCUUGGGCUUUCUCCUC